UUUUUAUUUAUUUAUUUGUCAAUGAAUGUUUGUUGCUGAUGCUAUCUGAUUAUAUGUUUACAUUUUAGUUUCUCUACUUGAUGUUUCUCAAUUACCUUGUCCAAGCUUAGGUUGUCAAAAAGUCCUACUUCCCAGGGAUUUGAAGAAGCUGGAUCAAUACUCGCUUCAUCUCCUUGUGUUAGUUGCGGGACCUGCAAACAUGGUAGAAGGUCCUCCCCUUCCCCUUUCUCAUUUUCAGCCAGUCAACCAGAGCUGAGAGAGAGGGAGGCAUGGCGAUUUGGAAGGCCCCCCCCUCGCCGCCGGCUCCCCCUCCCCGCCCUCUCCCUGCUGCAUCUCUCCCGUCUGUUCGAGGAUGCUUCAUGUGUUGGUCGCUUCUCAGAUGUGUUUCUAUCGAUGUGUGUUAUGUGUUUGGCGCUCAAAUCUAUUGUUUAUUCCCUCUUGUUAGUUGCAUUUAGCUGUGAUAGGUCCCCACAGGUAUGAUGUAUGUGGUUGUGUUGUCCGUGCGCUUGAUUUAGCUGUGUAUCGUGCAUUCAGGUUGCUAGCGGAUUGCUUCCUGUUGUGUUGGAUUGAGUCUGGAUUUAUGUUCUAAUGAUAGAUAUGACAUAGUUUGUUAUGUCAGUGAUUGCCCGGUCUCGUUUCCUAAUUGAUAGAAAUGAUUUUGUUGGGUGUGACUAGUAGUAACUUACUGGUAUAUUGGUCUCUAAUCCUAUGUUGGUGCAAUUGUUGUUCUUGUGUUUAGAGGGUGUUCAUUUCAUUCAGUUUGUAGUUAAGUUUGCUGUCUAGCCUUAGUUUGUUAUGCCUGCAGUGUAAUUGUGAAUUUCUCUUCUAUUUACAGUCAUCUUAAGGUCUUUUUACAGUGUCUAUGCCGCUGUAAUUUCUAUGACUUUUUCACUAUUUGUUGGGUAAUACAAUUUUUUAACAUGAUAUAUGCAUUAAGCUUUGUUUUCUAUUUUACAGUCUCCUUAUUGUCUAUUUACAGUGUAUAUGCAACUAUUGUAAAAACAAUUUCUCUUCUAGUACAGCAUCUUAAGGACUUUUUACAGUGCGAAUAGAAAUAUUCUAACUUGAUAAGCACAAUAAUUUUGGCUUAUCUAACACUAUAAUUCCAGUCAUCUAGAACUGUAUUUCAAAUGUAAUCCCCACUGUAAUCUCUAUUGAUCAGCAAUGUAAUUCUAGUGGUUUGCUACUGUAAUUCUAGUGGUUUACUAUUGUAAUGUCUAUUGGUUUUUGUAAGUUUUAUUUGAUAAGCACUGUAAUUCUACUGAAUUUUCUACUGUAAUCUCUAUUGGUUUUGAUUGUAAUUUCUCUUUUUAGCUCUGUUUUUGUAUUUGUAAUUUCCAUUUUUUUCCUGGAUUACUACUGUAAUAUAAGAUGCAUGCCUUUGUAAUUAUCUUGCUUGCCAGUAUAAUUCAUUGGUUUUUAGUUGAUUUCGACUUUAAUUUAAGUUGAUUUGCAAUGUAAUUUUAAGUUGUUUCCCACUGUAAUCUCUGUUGCCUUUUUAGUGUAAAUUAUAUCUUGCUCUUCUAGUACUCCCUCCGUAAACUAAUAUAAGAGUGUUUAGAUCACUAAAAUAGUGAUCACUAAAAUAGUGAUCUAAACACUCUUAUAUUAGUUUACAGAGGGAGUAAUUUUUAAUUUUCAUGCCGUUUGCAUCUGCCUCUGUAUCUUCAGUGCGAAAUGCACUGUAUUCUCAUCUUGCUUAUUAAUGUAUUUCCAGUGGUUUAGCAUUGUAAUUUAAAUGUAAUUACAUAGUUAUUUUCCGCGGGUUUACUAUUGUAAUCUAUAGUGAUUUUUCCUGUAAUUAGCCUGGUUUAGUUAUGUAAUCUUCUUGUUAGUAUUCUGUUUUCUUGAUGAAUGUGCUAAUGUGAUUUCUUCAUUGAUGAAUGCUUCGCCAUUCUGAGUUGCAUGCCCAUCUCAAGUUACAAAGGCAGGCAACAUAUAACCCUGCUCCUCCAGUGUGCAUUGGCAGCAAGAAAGAAAGUAGGUUUCUAGCGAGCUAUUUUCAUGUUAGUUGUGUUUCCUUUUUGUUUUUUAAGUUGUCUGCCAUUGUAAUUUAUGUUGCUUGCCAGUGUAUUCCAUUUCCAUUUACUGUAGGCCUGCCUUUGAAAUUUUAGUUGAUCGCCUCCAUAAUUUAUGUUGCUUGUGAGUGUAUAUUUUCUCUUACUGUUUAUAUUCAGUGAUAGUAGCGUAAGCAGUUUAGUGUAUUCUUUUUGUCUACUAAAAUGCAACUUGAUUCUAGAACAAUAGGAACUACCCAUGAAGUAAUUUCAUUUGUAAAAUGUAAUAAGCCCGAAUGCAGUAAAGCGUGGACUAUGCAUGCCUGAAUUUUUUACAAGAUUUUCGAUAGUAAUUGUCUUACAGAACUACAGUAUUUUUUUCAACCAUAGUUCUUGGUGUCUUUUCCAGUCUAGUCUUUCAAGUUUUGUACUGUUUAUUUUGGACAUUCGUACAGUGCCUAUGUUUCUGAAUUACAUUGUAAUCUAACUUGUAAUUAACAAGCCAGGAUGCCGUAAAUAUUAUAGUCACAGUAAUUGCAAAGAGAAGCUCACAGCAAGUUGAUCGAGAAGUCACGGUAAUUUGAGCUCUUGUAUAGUGCCAAAGUUUCUGAAAUUCUGUCUUUUGUUCCUUGAAUUUUUGUUUGAUCAUUUCCCAAUUGAUUUAUAUGAACAUCUUUCCCCCCUUAGUCUCUUGACCCUACACUGUGUUGCUUGGUUCUUCUAUCUUUUCUGUAGCAUCUAAGAAGAUUUCCAUAGUUCGAACGCCAAUUAGUAUCAGUGCAUAGCCUGAUUUUUUCAGUCUAUUUUGUGAACAUUAGUUUCAGUGUGAACUUCUUUGUAAUUUCAAUUAAACUUCACAGUAAUUCAAACUUCAAGUCACAGGAAUUUGUAACAGUGAGUUUCUGGAAUACAGUUUUUUGUUCCUAGACUUUUUGUUUGAGCAUUUUCACAGUUGAUCCACAACUUUCUGAUCAUGUUUUCUUCUUGAUCUGACUAGUUUUCUGCCUGUGCAACUAUUCUCUCUCCUUCCUCCAUCCUCUUCCUCUUUCUUAUCUGAUCAUAAAUCACACAUUGUUUCUGGUUUCUCUUUAUUUUUACUGAAGUUCCAAUAUCUUUGUUGUAAUUUGGCUGUAGUGACUGUAAUUUUAGUAAAAUGAGCAUUGUAAAUUCAUCGAAACUGAAUAUGUGAUACGCUAUAGAGGUUCACUGUAAACUUCAACUGAAGCCAUUGUAAAUACAAAAGUAGCUGCAAUUUAAAGUGUAACUGUAAAGCUUAAUGAUGAUGAAAUUUUCAGUAUGUGAUGAUUAAUUUACAGUAGCUUGUUGAUAAAUUUACAGCAGCCACAUGAUGAAUUUGCUGGUCUUUUGAUGAAUUUACAGUAUUUGUUGAUCAUUUUACAGCAGGUUGAUGAUGAUUUUACAGCAGCCUAAUGAUGAAUUUACAGUAUGUUUGUGUUCAGGAGUUUCUUCCACAAGUAUCAACUUGAGAUCUUUGAUGAUGCCAUGAGAAUUUCGUGUUCUCUUCCAAAAGUGUGUGAAGAAGAACAAAAAAUGUCAAUAAUCUAGAGAAGGUUGUGAGUAGUGACCUGGCAGUGUUGCUUUUUGGGCCCUUGCGUUGCUUACUCAUGGAUAGAGCGCACAGGUCAUACAAACAUGUGUCACAUUUGUAGUGCCUGAUAAAAUUGAUUGAAUGUCUCUUUAUUUUCAGUCAAAGUUUUUGCCCGUUGGACAUGUGACAUACAUACAGAUAGGUGUCAGAUUGUUACUGGUUGGCAUAUUUGAUUGAAGGCCAGUUCAAUUUCAGUGAAUUGUAAUAUAGACACUCGUUUUUUUUAACUUAAUAUAUAGCUGGAACACUGCUUA